AGUUUGAUCCUGGCUCAGGAUGAACGCUGGCGGCGUGCCUUAGGUAUGCAAGUCGAACGAUACCGAUGGCCGCAAGGUCGUUGGUGUAGUGGCGGACGGGUGAGUAACGCGUAGGAAUCUACCCCACACUGGGAAAUAACCUGCCGAAAGGUGGGCUAAUAUCCCAUAGUCUCUGUAUAAGAGUAAAGGGCUUAACUGCCCGGUGAGGGAUGAGCCUGCGUCCUAUCAGCUAGUUGGUAAGGUAACGGCUUACCAAGGCUAUGACGGGUAGCUGGACUGAGAGGUUGGUCAGCCACAGGGGCACUGAGACACGGGCUCCACACCUACGGGUGGCAGCAACCAGGAAUAUUGGGCAAUGGACGAAAGUCUGACCCAGCGACGCCGCGUGGAGGAUGAAGGCCUUCGGGUUGUAAACUCCUUUUGCCAAGCCCUUCACAGCUUGGAGAAUAAGCCUCUACUAACUACGUGCCAGAAGUCUCGGUAAUACGUAGGAGGCAAGCGUUAUCCGAAUUUACUGGGCGUAAAGAGUGUGUAGGUGGUCUUUUAAGUCCUUGUUUAAAUCCCGCGGCUUAACCGCGAAAUUGGCAAGGAUACUAUUUGACUUGAGGAUUGUUCGGGAUACUGGAACAGUUGGUGUAGCGGUGAAAUGCGUUGAUAUCAACUGGAACACCAAAGGCGAAGGCAAGUAUCUGGAAUUCUCCUGACACUGAGACACGAAAGCUAGGGUAGCGAAACAGAUUAGAGACCUGUGUAGUCCUAGCCGUAAACAAUGGAUGCUAGAUACCUCAUUUGAGGUGUCGUAAGCUAACGCGUUAAGCAUCCCGCCUGGGGAGUACGGCCGCAAGGCUAAAACUCAAAGGAAUUGACGGGGACCCGCACAACCAGUGGAGCGUGUGGUUCAAUUCGAGACGAAGCGAAAGACCUCACCAAGGUUUGACAUUCUACCGUGUUAAGUCCUGCGAAAGCAGGACCUAUCCGCAAGGAUGGUAGAACAGGUGCUGCAUGGCUGUCGUCAGCUCGUGCCGUGAGGUGUUCCAUUAAGUUGGGAAACGAGUGCAACCCCUAUCCAAUGUUAAAUAUUCAUUGGAGACUGCCCUAGCUUUGCUAGGGAGGAAGGAGGGGCGGACGUCAAGUCAGCAUGGCCCUUAUACCUUGGGCCACACACACACUACAAUGGCGAAAAACAAUGGGUUGCAAACCGGCAACGGCAAGCGAAUCCCUGAAAUUUCGCCUCAGUUCAGAUUGGGGUCUGAAACCCGACCCCAUGAAGCCGGAAUUGGUAGUAAUCGCGGAUCAGCAUGCCGCGGUGAAUACGUUCUCGGGUCUUGUACACACCGCCCGUCAAGGCAGCAAAGCCGGUAAUUAUCGAAUCUCGCUUUUUGCGGGAGAGAUAGAGACUGGUGAUGAGGCUUAAGUCGUA
rnacentral:rRNA from 1 species